AUGUCGCGUAUGCAGUAGCGCAUUAUCCUGUACUCGAAAUAGACAUCUGUCUGGUCUCUUUCAAACUUAUUGUUAUUAUUAGUUUAGAAUAUAUAAGUAGCGAUACGCUUUUGGUAUACACCAUGCAACUUUUUUCUUCAUAAAAGAUAGACUUAGAAAGCAACAUACCGCUAACAUACAGAUAGACAAAAAGAAUCAUUAUGCAAAAUUAACACAGCAUACAAAGCAUGAAAUACCUGCUGUAAGUCGCGAAUGUUAAGUGUACCACCUACAAGUUACCGUUCCAGGCUAAAUCUCCCUCUCGUGUCGCGCAAUUUGUUCCUUUCUCCGUCUCAAUAAGACGAGACUACGUUCAAAAAUCUCCUCUGUCUUUAAGUUGGGCCCCCAAAAUUCCAUUUCGCCUUGGGUACCACGAAAGCGUAACGCGUCACUGCGUGUAUGUAUGUAUCCGUUCCCCACACUCUGAAAAUAUGUAAAUCGAAUCGGAUCCACGACCAAUGCAUUCCGCUUGUCCGCGAUACAUAUGACAAAGUGGGUUACCGGUUCGGAUCACACUCACAGUUUUUUUUCUUUCUUCUACUACUUCUCUCUCGGUCCCGUCUUUCGGCCCGUGCAAUCGCGAAGCGCCACUUUCGUUCCCGUAAUUAAACUAAAUUUAUUCGCACGGAACACCGAGUCGGAUAGAUGCAAAUCGAGCGGUGCCCGUACAAUGUAAUCUCGGCGUUUGCAUCGCCAAGGCUUUCCACGAUCGAGUGUUGUUAUAAUUUAUCCGCUUGUGCCCACUUUGCCGCGGGCAAACAAAGGCGAUCGACGACACUCGUGGACGCGUCACGCGACUCGAAGCUUAUUGCACAAGGAAGAGAGCCUGGGCGAACUCGUUUUCCCUUUCGUCCCUCAUUUUGUUGUACACGCUUGUUUCUACGUGUGAACUUUAUAAUAUCUCACGUAGAACAUGAACAGAAUUCAAGUUGCGAAGAACGAAUGGUUGUAAGUUCAGCGAACUCGAAAUUCCUGCGGAUAAUGUUAACUUUGCACCUGUGUGCUACCUUUGCAGCGUAUCUAAUAUAAUUCGAUUAUAAUUUUAUGAGAUGGAAAAUCUCUUUUAGGUUUCUAUGCGAAAAUAAUAAGUAAUGCUUGCGGUAGCCAAAGCUUUGUUACGCCUCGCUUCUUGGUUACAAGAUCAGAUUUACUUUUCUAAAUGAAACUUUCGACCACGUUGAAAUGUUUCCAUCGCGUCAGACGAUUACAUACGCUAGUAAAAGCGUAUCGCCGCGCCGCGCCGCGAGCCUAAUGACCGCCAAUUAGGAUACCCGCGUGUUCGUACACAAGCUUAAUACAGAAGCUUCGAUGGCGAUCGUAUGUACCUGGUUGGGCCACCGUUUGUAGUCAACUUUCGCUGUUUCUAAAGUUAUUAUAUCUCUUCGAUUAACAGCGUUCGGUUUUACAUGCGGUUGUUCAGCAGAAGUAAUAACAAUGGCGUUCCGGGCCAUUUGAGCCAUUCUAACAAGUAGGAAGGAAUUAAGAUUUGCAUAAUAAGUUCACGCAAGACAAUCGUUGAUACCAUUUGCGUUAAUGGUAAUAGAACUUGGAAUUGGAUUAGUUCUUUCUACUUAGAUCAACGGUGUCGACGAUUAGCGAUUAGCGCUGUUGUUAAAAGACCUAUUUGGCGCUUCAUUAUUCCGAAGUUACCGUAAUUACGAGCAAUAUCGAAGGAAAAAUGGCUAGUUCUACUUUAGGAGCGGUGAAAGUAACAGAUGCUCGCCUUAAAUGUCAGUUCAAUGACAAUGUGGUAGCGAGAAACGUGGCGAUCAUCCAUAAUUAUAUAAUAUAUAGUAUUGUCAACAAUUACGACAGGCGUAAAAACCAGCGUUAAAAAAUGAUUAUACGCGUGUACAGUUUUGCCAGAAUGCCUGGUAAAGUGAAGUAACAAGUACACCAUGUACUUCGUAACUGUAGUAAACAAUAGCCUAUCGUGAUCAGAUAAAUGAAAUUAGGAUUGCAUAAAGGCGGAAGGAAAGGCAAUAUUCGUUGCAAAAUUAAACUACUUUUAAUUAAAAGAAGAAAUUUGUUGCUCUAUGAAUGAAUUGAAUGUGUACGAAGGUAAUUGUUUGUAUAUGUGGAGCUAGGCUCUAUCCCUUAAUCACAUUAAUUCGCGAUUACUCCGGUCGAAAGUCAAUUACCCUCGUACGGAUCUGAUUUAUCCUAUGAACUUUCUAGACACUUUCGCAAAACUGUAGCCGUAGACAAACUGUGCUCAUAACUCUCGCAGAAAGCGUUCCCGCACACGUGUUUGCGCGACUUCCAUCGAAGCAAGUACAAUAAUGCUCGUCUGAAUCCAACCUUAACCCGUUAGAAUUUCAUUUAAGAAUCGACCAAUUGGAAACAUUUAAUCAAUUGUGUCUCAUUCGUCUGGGGCUCUAAUUUAGCAAGAUGAAAUCAUCAGGCGCUCUACGAUGCGGUAAAAUCGUUUGGUAGGAAAGCGAAGAAGAAAGGGAAAGUUGCUUCGCUAGUAUCCUUGCUCCAGGUGAAGCGACUGUAACCUUCUGAAUCACCGGUUCGGAGCAAGUUCGUGUUAUUCCAAGCGUUAAAAUCUGUCAUCUCUGCGUGGACGUUGUUUUUGGCCGGGCAAAGCCGUCAACAAUCGUGCUGCUCUCUUCCUGGAAACCGAAUGUUUGACUCGUUCGAGGAAUUACGUCGGGCCUCGAAUAUUUUCGGGACCUUCGAAUCAACAAAUAAUGAUUAACGGACCGAACAAAUAUUAUCUUCGUUCGUAACAAAUUUUACUAUCUGGAUCUUUGUUGGAAGCCUGAGAACUCAGGUCUGGAGAUGAACCAGACCAUCAGAAAUGCUGAUGACGCACUUGGGAUCACCAAACUCCUGAGAUGAUGCGUAAUCCAUCACUAGUGUUAUAAAAAAUUUCCAAGGUGGAUUGUUUGUUCGAUGUUUAUUCUUCUUUUCGUUAUAAUGGAAGAAUACUACAAGCAUUUAUCUUUAGUCGGACGCUUCGUGUUUUUAUUUGGUCUGGCUCAGUCAAUUGCAUAACCAGUCCCAGCCACAGAAACGAUACAUCACACGGAUAACGUAAGCAGUAACUAACAAUAAGAAAAAAAUGGAAGCUACUUUAUCACGAUAAUAUAACUUGUUCGUGGAAGAUACCAUUAUCGAACAGAGAAAGUCUUCUACUAGUAUGAUCCAGGCUUCGAUGAUUAGAAUGUUACUUUACAUCUUAAUUGCAAACGAUUUUUAAUUAUCGCCCGUGGUUUCUAUUUGAUGUGCAGAAACGUGAUAAAGAUUUCUAUCGCGCGCUUCACUUUCACCGCUACAUUCUAUGAUCAAUUUUCUAGAGUGUUAACGCCCCAGCGCGUCCAUUCGACAGGAUUGUUGAUAUCCCGAUGAUAUCAUUUCCAAUCUUCCUCUCAUCGUCCGAUUUCACCUGCGACUGCGUCUUUAUCGUUGCCAAAGCUUCCUCCGAUGAUUCCUUCUCUCGCUUUCUCUUCCAACGACUCUUCGCUGAUCGCGAGUUUCUCCCCAAUCGCCAACGAAAACGCUGAUGACGUUUAGACCUCGGUCGCGUGCAAGAAGAGGAGAAACUCGCCACGGACGAAUCACAACCGCCGACUUGAGCGGACCCAGACAACAUUUUCCGUCAACUGGUGAAACCCCUGAUGUUGUUUAUUAUAGCUUCGUAUAAACAACGUGUAAAAUUAGAGUCCUACGGUUUCCUCGAGUAGUUCUUCCAACGUUGAGUCUCCUGUGGUAGAUGGUAGAACAUGAUCAAUGGUCCCUGGUAUAUAGACGGUUAUAAACAUUAUUUAGGCUUCUGUUUUAGGUUCCUAAAAGGUAAUCCUUCGUUACUGCAACAUGGAUUAAUAGUAGACCAGUGGAUGGUCGCCAAGUAACAAGGAUUG